UAUUGAAACACUGGUUCCCAUAUGAUAACCGAAGUUAAGCAACAUCAAGUCUGGUCAGUACUUAGAUGGGUGACCACUUGGAAAUACAAAGUGCUGUAAG